rnacentral:tRNA from 1 species
ACUAUUUUGGCAGAUAAUAUGUGCUAGACUUAGGAUUUAGUUAAAUAGAGAUGAUUCUAUAAAUAGUU